AAGGUCACGGCGAGACGAGCCGUUUAUCAGGUGUCAAGUGGAAGUGCAGUGAUGUAUGCAGCUGAGGCAUCCUAACAGACCGGUAGACUUGAAC
rnacentral:rRNA from 1 species